rnacentral:rRNA from 1 species
UAGGGAAUCUUGCGCAAUGGGCGAAAGCCUGACGCAGCCAUGCCGCGUGAAUGAUGAAGGUCUUAGGAUUGUAAAAUUCUUUCACCGGGGAAGAUAAUGACGGUACCCGGAGAAGAAGCCCCGGCUAACUUCGUGCCAGCAGCCGCGGUAAUACGAAGGGGGCUAGCGUUGCUCGGAAUUACUGGGCGUAAAGGGCGCGUAGGCGGAUAUUUAAGUUGGGGGUGAAAGCCCGGGGCUCAACCUCGGAAUAGCCUUCAAUACUGGAUAUCUUGAGUUCGGGAGAGGUGAGUGGAAUGCCGAGUGUAGAGGUGAAAUUCGUAGAUAUUCGGCGGAACACCAGUGGCGAAGGCGACUCACUGGCCCGAUACUGACGCUGAGGCGCGAAAGCGUGGGGAGCAAACAGGAUUAGAUACCCUGGUAGUCCACGCCGUAAACGAUGAGUGCUAGUUGUCGGCAUGCAUGCAUGUCGGUGACGCAGCUAACGCAUUAAGCACUCCGCCUGGGGAGUACGGUCGCAAGAUUAAAACUCAAAGGAAUUGACGGGGGUCAUAGCUGUUUCCUG